rnacentral:rRNA from 1 species
GGUUAAGCGACUAAGCGUACACGGUGGAUGCCCUGGCAGUCAGAGGCGAUGAAGGACGUGCUAAUCUGCGAAAAGCGUCGGUAAGGUGAUAUGAACCGUUAUAGCCGGCGAUGUCCGAAUGGGGAAACCCAGUGCAAUUCGUUGCACUAUCGUUAACUGAAUACAUAGGUUAACGAGGCGAACCGGGGGAACUGAAACAUCUAAGUACCCCGAGGAAAAGAAAUCAACCGAGAUUCCCCCAGUAGCGGCGAGCGAACGGGGAGCAGCCCGGAGUCUGAAUCAGCUUGUGUGUUAGUGGAAGCGUCUGGAAAGUCGCAGGGUACAGGGUGAUACUCCCGUACACUAAAACACACAGGCUGUGAACUCGAAGAGUAGGGCGGGACACGUGGUAUCCUGUCUGAAUAUGGGGGGACCAUCCUCCAAGGCUAAAUACUCCUGACUGACCGAUAGUGAACCAGUACCGUGAGGGAAAGGCGAAAAGAACCCCGGCGAGGGGAGUGAAAAAGAACCUGAAACCGUGUACGUACAAGCAGUAGGAGCCUCUUUAUGGGGUGACUGCGUACCUUUUGUAUAAUGGGUCAGCGACUUAUAUUCUGUAGCAAGGUUAACCGUAUAGGGGAGCCGCAGGGAAACCGAGUCUUAACUGGGCGUUAAGUUGCAGGGUAUAGACCCGAAACCCGGUGAUCUAGCCAUGGGCAGGUUGAAGGUUGGGUAACACUAACUGGAGGACCGAACCGACUAAUGUUGAAAAAUUAGCGGAUGACUUGUGGCUGGGGGUGAAAGGCCAAUCAAACCGGGAGAUAGCUGGUUCUCCCCGAAAGCUAUUUAGGUAGCGCCUCGUGAACUCAUCUUCGGGGGUAGAGCACUGUUUCGGCUAGGGGGUCAUCCCGACUUACCAACCCGAUGCAAACUACGAAUACCGAAGAAUGUUAUCACGGGAGACACACGGCGGGUGCUAACGUCCGUCGUGAAGAGGGAAACAACCCAGACCGCCAGCUAAGGUCCCAAAGUCAUGGUUAAGUGGGAAACGAUGUGGGAAGGCCCAGACAGCCAGGAUGUUGGCUUAGAAGCAGCCAUCAUUUAAAGAAAGCGUAAUAGCUCACUGGUCGAGUCGGCCUGCGCGGAAGAUGUAACGGGGCUAAACCAUGCACCGAAGCUGCGGCAGCGACACUAUGUGUUGUUGGGUAGGGGAGCGUUCUGUAAGCCGUUGAAGGUGGCCUGUGAGGGUUGCUGGAGGUAUCAGAAGUGCGAAUGCUGACAUAAGUAACGAUAAUGCGGGUGAAAAACCCGCACGCCGGAAGACCAAGGGUUCCUGUCCAACGUUAAUCGGGGCAGGGUGAGUCGACCCCUAAGGCGAGGCCGAAAGGCGUAGUCGAUGGGAAACAGGUUAAUAUUCCUGUACUCGGUGUUACUGCGAAGGGGGGACGGAGAAGGCUAUGUUGGCCGGGCGACGGUUGUCCCGGUUUAAGCAUGUAGGCGGAUGUUCCAGGUAAAUCCGGAACGUUACUAACGCUGAGGUGUGAUGACGAGGCACUACGGUGCUGAAGUGACAAAUGCCCUGCUUCCAGGAAAAGCCUCUAAGCAUCAGGUAACAUCAAAUCGUACCCCAAACCGACACAGGUGGUCAGGUAGAGAAUACCAAGGCGCUUGAGAGAACUCGGGUGAAGGAACUAGGCAAAAUGGUGCCGUAACUUCGGGAGAAGGCACGCUGAUAUGUAGGUGAAGUGGUUUACCCAUGGAGCUGAAAUCAGUCGAAGAUACCAGCUGGCUGCAACUGUUUAUUAAAAACACAGCACUGUGCAAACACGAAAGUGGACGUAUACGGUGUGACGCCUGCCCGGUGCCGGAAGGUUAAUUGAUGGGGUUAUCCGUAAGGAGAAGCUCUUGAUCGAAGCCCCGGUAAACGGCGGCCGUAACUAUAACGGUCCUAAGGUAGCGAAAUUCCUUGUCGGGUAAGUUCCGACCUGCACGAAUGGCGUAAUGAUGGCCAGGCUGUCUCCACCCGAGACUCAGUGAAAUUGAACUCGCUGUGAAGAUGCAGUGUACCCGCGGCAAGACGGAAAGACCCCGUGAACCUUUACUAUAGCUUGACACUGAACACUGGUCCUUGAUGUGUAGGAUAGGUGGGAGGCUUUGAAGCGUGGACGCCAGUCUGCGUGGAGCCAUCCUUGAAAUACCACCCUUUAAUGGCUGGUGUUCUAACGUGGGCCCGUUAUCCGGGUUGCGGACAGUGUCUGGUGGGUAGUUUGACUGGGGCGGUCUCCUCCUAAAGAGUAACGGAGGAGCACGAAGGUCAGCUAAUCCUGGUCGGACAUCAGGAGGUUAGUGCAAUGGCAUAAGCUGGCUUGACUGCGAGCGUGACGGCGCGAGCAGGUGCGAAAGCAGGUCAUAGUGAUCCGGUGGUUCUGAAUGGAAGGGCCAUCGCUCAACGGAUAAAAGGUACUCCGGGGAUAACAGGCUGAUACCGCCCAAGAGUUCAUAUCGACGGCGGUGUUUGGCACCUCGAUGUCGGCUCAUCACAUCCUGGGGCUGAAGUAGGUCCCAAGGGUAUGGCUGUUCGCCAUUUAAAGUGGUACGCGAGCUGGGUUUAGAACGUCGUGAGACAGUUCGGUCCCUAUCUGCCGUGGGCGCUGGAGAAUUGAGGGGGGCUGCUCCUAGUACGAGAGGACCGGAGUGGACGCAUCACUGGUGUUCGGGUUGUCAUGCCAAUGGCAUUGCCCGGUAGCUAAAUGCGGAAGAGAUAAGUGCUGAAAGCAUCUAAGCACGAAACUUGCCCCGAGAUGAGUUCUCCCUGACUCCUUGAGAGUCCUGAAGGAACGUUGAAGACGACGACGUUGAUAGGCCGGGUGUGUAAGCGCAGCGAUGCGUUGAGCUAACCGGUACUAAUGAACCGUGAGGCUUAACCUU